CAACACUGGCUUAUUUUGCAAGUACAGAGGAAGACGUGAGAAGAGACAAGGACUAGACAUUGGGACAUUGUUGGACUUGGUUUAUGGACCUGUUUGGAUUCUCCUCCUUCCCCGCUUAUGGAUUUAUAGCCCAGCCGGCUGCUGCUUUGUGGCUCUCUUCGGUGACGGGUAUUCUUGGGUGGAUAAUACGGAUUACGUUGUUAUUGCUUAAGAAUACGCGUAGUUGAGGAGAGUAUGUACAACAAGCACGCUACAGCGCCCCAAAAGUCGCGCCGACCAACCGCUGUCUUGGCCAAGGUAGCCUCUUUCAUCUCUUUUUCCGUGCAU